rnacentral:rRNA from 1 species
AGAUGGUGACCGGCGCACGGGUGAGUAACACGUAUCCAACCUGCCGAUAACUCGGGGAUAGCCUUUCGAAAGAAAGAUUAAUACCCGAUGGCAUAAUAGAACCGCAUGGUUUGUAUUAAUUAAAGAAUUUCGGCUAUCGGAUGGGGAUGCGUUCCAUUAGGCAGUUGGUGGGGUAACGGCCCACCAAACCUUCGAUGGAUAGGGGUUCUGAGAGGAAGGUCCCCCACAUUGGAACUGAGACACGGUCCAA